UUCUUCGUUUUCAAAAAAUAC
rnacentral:piRNA from 1 species